GAUGAACGCUGGCGGCGUGCCUAAUACAUGCAAGUCGAACGCUGGAGAUCUAGCUUGCUAGAUCGAAGGAGUGGCGAACGGGUGAGUAAUACAUAAGCAACCUACCCACGAAGACUGGGAUAAUCUCUGGAAACGGGGACUAAUACCGGAUAGGUAAUCGGAAGGCAUCUUCUGGUUAUUAAAGGUUAAAAACACUGGUGGAUGGGCUUAUGGCGCAUUAGUUAGUUGGUGAGGUAACGGCCCACCAAGACGGUGAUGCGUAGCCGGCCUGAGAGGGUGAACGGCCACAUUGGGACUGAGACACGGCCCAGACUCCUACGGGAGGCAGCAGUAGGGAAUUUUCGGCAAUGGGGGCAACCCUGACCGAGCAACGCCGCGUGAGUGAAGACGGCCUUCGGGUUGUAAAGCUCUGUUGUAAGGGAAGAACGGUAGAUAGAGAAUAUCUAAGUGACGGUACCUUACCAGAAAGCCACGGCUAACUACGUG
rnacentral:rRNA from 1 species